rnacentral:rRNA from 1 species
UACGGAGGGUGCGAGCGUUGUCCGGAAUCACUGGGCGUAAAGGGCGCGUAGGUGGCCUGUGGAAGUCUGCGGUGAAAGCCCGGCGCUCAACGCCGGGUCGGCCGUGGAUACUCUCGGGCUUGAGCUUACUAGAGGCAGAUGGAAUUCCGGGUGUAGCGGUGGAAUGCGUAGAGAUCCGGAAGAACACCGGUGGCGAAGGCGGUCUGCUGGGGUAAUGCUGACACUGAUGCGCGACAGCGGUGGGGAGCAAACAGG